rnacentral:rRNA from 1 species
GAUGAACGCUAGCGGCAGGCCUAACACAUGCAAGUCGAGGGGCAGCAUAGGGUAGCAAUACUCUGAUGGCGACCGGCAAACGGGUGAGUAACGCGUAUGCAACCUACCCUGUACAGGGGGAUAACCCGGAGAAAUUCGGACUAAUAUCCCGUAAUAAUAUCCGGAGGCAUCUUUGGAUAUUAAAGUUCCGACGGUACGGGAUGGGCAUGCGUAACAUUAGCUGGUUGGUAAGGUAACGGCUUACCAAGGCUAUGAUGUUUAGGGGUCCUGAGAGGGUGGUCCCCCACACUGGUACUGAGACACGGACCAGACUCCUACGGGAGGCAGCAGUGAGGAAUAUUGGUCAAUGGGCGCAAGCCUGAACCAGCCAUCCCGCGUGCAGGAAGACGGCCCUAUGGGUUGUAAACUGCUUUUCCAGGGAGAGAAACUUACGCACGUGUUGCGUGACUGACGGUACCCUGGGAAUAAGCAUCGGCUAACUCCGUG